rnacentral:rRNA from 1 species
UACGUAGGUGGCAAGCGUUGUCCGGAAUUAUUGGGCGUAAAGCGCGCGCAGGCGGUCCUUUAAGUCUGAUGUGAAAGCCCACGGCUCAACCGUGGAGGGUCAUUGGAAACUGGGGGACUUGAGUACAGAAGAGAAGAGUGGAAUUCCACGUGUAGCGGUGAAAUGCGAAGAGAUGUGGAGGAACACCAGUGGCGAAGGCAACUCUUUGGUCUGUAACUGACGCUGAGGCGCGAAAGCGUGGGGAGCAAACAGG